rnacentral:tRNA from 1 species
GGGCUCAGUGGCAGAGCAUCUGCUUGGCAUGCAGAAGGUCUUGGGUUCAAUUCCUGGCAUCUCCA